UACGUAGGGCGCAAGCGUUGUCCGAAAUUAUUGGGCGUAAAGAGCUCGUAGGCGGUCUGUCGCGUCGGCUGUGAAAACCCAGGGCUCAACCCUGGGCCUGCAUUCGAUACGGGCAGACUAGAGUUCGGUAGGGAGACUGGAAUUCCUGGUGUAGCGGUGAAAUGCGCAGAUAUCAGGAGGAACACCGGUGGCGAAGGCGGGUCUCUGGGCCGAAACUGACGCUGAGGAGCGAAAGCGUGGGGAGCAACAGG
rnacentral:rRNA from 1 species